UACGUAGGGGGCGAGCGUUGUCCGGAAUCAUUGGGCGUAAAGGGCUCGUAGGCGGUCUGUUGCGUCGGGAGUGAAAACUCAGGGCUUAACCCUGAGCCUGCUUCCGAUACGGGCAGACUAGAGGUAUGCAGGGGAGAACGGAAUUCCUGGUGUAGCGGUGAAAUGCGCAGAUAUCAGGAGGAACACCGGUGGCGAAGGCGGGUCUCUGGGCAACAACUGACGCUGAGGAGCGAAAGCGUGGGGAGCGAACAGG
rnacentral:rRNA from 1 species